rnacentral:tRNA from 1 species
AAGGUUGUAGUUAAUUAUAACAUUUGAUUUGCAUUCAAAAAGUAUUGAAAUUUUUCAAUCAUCCUUA